rnacentral:rRNA from 1 species
AGGGUUUGAUCCUGGCUCAGGAUGAACGCUAGCGGCAGGCCUAAUACAUGCAAGUCGAGGGGUAACAGGAAGUGCUUGCACUUCGCUGACGACCGGCGCACGGGUGAGUAUCGCGUAUACAAUCUGCCUCAUACUAGGGAAUAGCCCGAAGAAAUUUGGAUUAAUGCCCUAUAGUAUCUUUUUAAGGCAUCUUAUUUAGAUUAAAGGUUACGGUAUGAGAUGAGUAUGCGUUCUAUUAGCUAGUAGGUGUGGUAACGGCACACCUAGGCUACGAUAGAUAGGGGCCCUGAGAGGGGGAUCCCCCACACUGGUACUGAGACACGGACCAGACUCCUACGGGAGGCAGCAGUAAGGAAUAUUGGACAAUGGGCGAAAGCCUGAUCCAGCCAUGCCGCGUGCAGGAUGACUGCCCUAUGGGUUGUAAACUGCUUUUAUAUAGGAAGAAAAAUUUUCUCGUGAGAAAACUUGACGGUACUAUAAGAAUAAGGAUCGGCUAACUCCGUGCCAGCAGCCGCGGUAAUACGGAGGAUCCAAGCGUUAUCCGGAAUCAUUGGGUUUAAAGGGUCCGUAGGUGGACAAAUAAGUCAGAGGUGAAAUCCUGCAGCUCAACUGUAGAACUGCCUUUGAUACUGUUUGUCUUGAGUUAUUAUGAAGUGGUUAGAAUGUGUAGUGUAGCGGUGAAAUGCAUAGAUAUUACACAGAAUACCGAUUGCGAAGGCAGAUCACUAAUAAUUAACUGACACUGAGGGACGAAAGCGUGGGUAGCGAACAGGAUUAGAUACCCUGGUAGUCCACGCCGUAAACGAUGGUCACUAGCUGUUUGGACUUCGGUCUGAGUGGCUAAGCGAAAGUGAUAAGUGACCCACCUGGGGGAGUACGUUCGCAAGAAUGAAACUCAAAGGAAUU